GACGAACGCUGGCGGCGUGCUUAACACAUGCAAGUCGAACGGUGAAGCGCCUUCCUUUUUGGUGGGUGUGGAUGAGUGGCGAACGGGUGAGUAACACGUGAGUAACCUGCCCCCUUCUUCUGGAUAACCGCAUGAAAGUGUGGCUAAUACGGGAUAUUCUGGUUCUGUCGCAUGAUGGGUCUGGGAAAGAUAUUGUUUCGGUGGGGGAUGGGCUCGCGGCCUAUCAGCUUGUUGGUGGGGUGAUGGCCUACCAAGGCGGUGACGGGUAGCCGGCCUGAGAGGGUGGACGGUCACACUGGGACUGCGACACGGCCCAGACUCCUACGGGAGGCAGCAGUGGGGAAUAUUGCACAAUGGGCGCAAGCCUGAUGCAGCGACGCCGCGUGAGGGAUGGAGGCCUUCGGGUUGUGAACCUCUUUCGCCAGUGAAGCAGGCCUGCCUCGUUUGUGGGUGGGUUGACGGUAGCUGGAGAAGAAGCGCCGGCUAACUACGUG
rnacentral:rRNA from 1 species